GGGAGAAGGGAGGCAGCGCUCACUCCCUCACAGCUCCGGGAAUCUGAGGUGUUGGGAGGAGGAGGAGGCCGAGCAGCUCCUCUGCCUCCGCCCGGACGACGCUGUGAGCGGUUGCCAAGUUACGGGCCGGCUGUGACGCGGGUUGCUCAGCAACGGACCGGCAGUGACGCGGCGAGGGCGUCACCGCACGUCAUCUUCCUGCACCACCCAGCGACGGGGACGGAGGCGCGGGAGCUGGUUCGCACGAUGUUUGGCGGUCUUCUUUCUACAAAUGGUUUCCCAGGCACUGCUGAGCUCUUUCACCCGGCUCCUCUCUCCCACAAACAGCAUUGCUACAUAAUGACAUGCGACAUGAUGAGAAGGGAGGAACACAGAGUGCUGGGAACCACCGAGUGUCGCUGGGAGGCGGAGACUCCAGAUUCACGAGACCAAGUAACCUUGGAAUACCGCGAGGAGCAAGGAGACAUCAACUUGGGUGCUGUAAUAUAAUAUUAGCAUUUAAUAGCAAAAUAGCAUACAGUCCUGCAUCCUGAUGAUGGGACCCCUAGGCUGCAAUCUAUUCAGCCUUCCCCUGACAGAAUUAUAUAUACUCAUCCCCCUUAAGUAUGGCAAAAUAUCUACUCCGAAAUGCACAGACAUGAGUAUUCAUCACUGUAAUUCCUAUGGCAGGGUGAACCUUGCCGUCCUUCCUAGCAGCAGUUUUGAAUAGCUUCUAGAAUGGGCAUAACUAUAGUAGAUGCAAGGGGUGUCAUUGUUAUGGGGCCCAGAGGCUUUGGGGGGCCUGGACCCAGGUUAUAAAGUUGCUAAACAGUUUACUAGAUUUGCCUGCUAAGCAAUUGGAUCUGUUGCAUUGCCCAGCCUGAAUUGUGAGACAUUACAUUAUCAGUGAGAGGAGUGUGUAGUGGAUGUUAUAAUGGUUGUGGUAUAAUGUGGUAUAAUUUGAACUGGAGGUCACUGUAAAGUGUCAUAGUCUGAACUGCUCAUUGUAAUGUGGAGGGCAUUAUAAUGUUACAUAAUAAAACCUGGGGCACUGCAAUGUGGCCCAAAAUGA